rnacentral:tRNA from 1 species
GGGUAUAGCUCAGUGGUAGAGUGCAUGCUUAGCAUGCAUGAGGUCCUGGGUUCCAUGCCCAGUACUUCCA